rnacentral:hammerhead_ribozyme from 1 species
GCACUUCUGAGGAGUCACACAACAGGACGAAACGGCCGUCCAGUGU